AUUUCCAUCCCCUUUCUCCUUUCUCCUGAGCUCCAACCGAGAAGUGAAGGAAUCACCGGUCAAUCUCACCGCCGGAAGCGGCACCAACAAUCCUGUCAAGGAAGGUGCGCCGCAGUGUCUCUGAUGCUUGUCAAUUGCGCCGUCAGUUACUGGUGAGGGUCAGGUUGUUGUGUCGUUCCCCGCCUCUACGUCUGCCUCGCCAGCGUCGCCGCCGUUCCACUCUGCGCUUUCCUCGAAACUGUACCUCUGCUCUCCUCUCCUUCUCUCUCUAUUGUCGCGUUAUACUCAGGGUUGCCUUCUAUGCCAAUAUAAGAGAAAGGACUGCUCAGCUACUUCAUCAGUAAGAAGUGAUUGUGACUAGUGUUGAAGAAGCUUCCAAUAGUGCAAAGCCACUGCCCACUGGUUAAGCAACUUAAGAAACUCCAUUAAGAAAAUAAAGAAAAGUAUCGCAUCCUUACCUCAGCAAGAGGUGAAUGAAGAAGAAGCCUCCCUCUUUGAUGUGCUACGGUUAUUACUUGCAAGUGUUAUAUUUGUACCAAUAUUUCAAAAACUUGCCAAAGGUAAUGUAUAUGUUUAUUAUUGAUUGGAUUCCAUGUCUGUUCUUAAUUUAAAAAUAAGAAGAAUGAGCGAAUAUAUAUAUAUAUAUAUAUAUAUAUAUAUAUAUAUAUAUAUAUAUAUAUAUAUAGUGAGUUUUGGAACCAUUGGAGACUAUGUUCUUUUUCUUGCACCAUUCAAUGUUAGUAGUAGUAGUAUAACGAUUUGAAGAAUUGGCCUUUAAACCAAUAUAGCCAGCCCAAAAAACUGGAGCUGCAAAACUUCCAGCAUACAUAUUUCUCAAACUGAAGGUUAAUCUGAUCUUGAAGGAGGCAUUGAUGAAGUUGUGAACAAAAAAAUAAUAUAAUAGAAUGGAGGGAGAUGCUGAAAGAUGAUAGUAUUUAGUAAACUAUGGGCACUUGAAAGUAGAGAAUUGCAUAUAAAGCUACAAAGCCUUGAUCUCAUCGACAGUCAAUAGUAAAAAUGUAAAAUUACAUUAUUGUUAGCAUCAUGUUUUUAAAGUAAUUAUAAUUAUUUAUUAGAGUUUCUGCUAUGCUAUUCUAGCAAUUCAAGUUGUUAGAUAGUAUAGUUUUAUUUUAAUAUUAAUUAGUAAAUAAAUUAGAAGGAAUGAA